rnacentral:rRNA from 1 species
AGUUAAGCAACAUUGAGCCUGGUUAGUACUUGGAUGGGUGACCGCCUGGGAAUACUGGGUGCUGAUGGCA